GGUUUUUUUUUAAAGAAGGAAUCCUAGAGCAAAUUUCAUAGCUACCAAAUCAGAAAGAGGUUGUGGUGGCAUGUUGCCAUUUAACUUCUGGUUUGAAUGAUAUAAGAGACAGUCUGUUCAGCAGUUAUUCGUAGCAGUUUUAAUACAGUUAUAGACCAGUAUGAGAGGCUCCCUGUACUGCUGCAGUUCUUGGCAAGAAAAACAAUGUGUAGAUCAAGCCACAGCUGAAUGAAAUAAUUCCAGAGGGAGGAUCACAGGUCUGGUGCAGACUCAGCCUAUCAACAAUGAAUGAUUUAAGUAAAUAAAAUCUCAAUUAAUAUCGUACAUCUUUACUCAUUGACAGUGUGUCCACAUUGGUCUUUUUCAAAUCUAUCACCAUUUUUUAUACACCUAACCAAUAUUUAUUCAAACCAAAGAAAAUGGGUUUCAUUCCAGGCCCUGCUAUUUAUUGGCUGUUUGUCCUUGGGCAAGUUAGCUAAUCUUUCUAAGAUUGUUUCUGCAGGCAUAGAGAUAAUGGUAUCUAUCUUACAGAAUUAUUAUAAAUAUGAAUGAUUAAGCAUGAAAUACUUAAUUCUUUGCUAGGCAUGACCUACAGAGGCACUCAAAAUACUGUAAAGCAUCAAACACAAAGCAAAAUAUAAGUACUGAAAAGUUUCAUUGGUGUGAGCAAAUAGUUGUCUGUCUUAAAGGAAUUUGGCUCUAAUCAUACAGAUAAUGCAUACACUAAAAUAAUACAUAACUAGACCCAACCUGACAGAAAAUAAAGAAAUUGCUGAGUGUUUCUUUAGCUUUCAAAUUGGAUCACUUUAUGUUUUUGUUACAUCAUGCUCUUUCAAUUUCGUUCCAGUAAACUGGGUACAUUAUAAAGAUAUGUUUAUAGAGAUGGAAGAAUGGACUGGAUCAAAAGUUGUAAAAAUCCUAUCCCAUUAAGCAAUAAAUAGCCAUGGUAGAUCUCAGCGGAAAAUAGUUUUCCCUCAUUAAGAAAAAGAAUUGUUUAUUUUCUUUUCUUUCCCUUCCAAUAAAAAUCUCAACAGGAGUGUGCAUGUAUAUGUGUGUGUAUGAGUGUGUGUAUGUGAGGGGGGCUGACAAGCCAAUACAAAAUUUUUCCAAGAAACCAAAAGUAACCAAGACAGGUCUGAGAAUAAGAAUUAGAUGGGCAGCCUUGCCUUAUCAGGUGUAAAAACUUACUAUAAGGCUCUAGUAAUGAAGACUGGUACAGACACAGGUAAACAGAUCAACAGGCAGAAUUGAGAGCCUAGAGACAGAGCCAAAGGCAAAUGGAAAUUGAUUUAUGAUAGAACAGAUAUUACAGGCUGGGAAGAAAAGAUGAACUUUUCAGUAAAAAGUGCUAAGACAGGAGCUUAUUCAUACCGGGGGUUGGGGCGUGGGGGGGAAUUAUUCCACAUUAUACAAAGACUAAGUGUCAGAUAAAAGUCAUAAAUGUGAAAGGAAAAACUAUAAUACAAGAAUAAAGCUUUAUGACUUUGGGGUAAGGAUAAACAAGACUCUAACAGCACUAAUCGUAAAGAAGAGAUCUUUAUAUUUGACAUUAAAAUUACAAUCUUCAGUUUAUCAAAAAGACACCAUAAAGAGUGAAAAAAAUGACAAGAAACGACAUCUUCAUAACACAUGUUAAAAAAGGAAUAGCAUUCAUAUUAAGAAAUACAUAUGAAAAUAUAUUAAAUAGCGCAGACUGGGGGUGGCAAAUAGCUCAAUAAUAAAUGGCUAGGAAACCUGAGCAGACCUCCCGCGGAAGCUGAAACCCAAAUGAUCAUUAACCCGCGCGCGAAUACUCAAGCUCCUUCGACCUGGUGCGGGCCGCCAUGUUCCCAGCAGCACUUGCGGGCUUGAGGCAGUAAAGCUCCCAGGUGGCUGCGGGCUCUGAGGGUCUGUUGCUGCUGCCUGGACCACCGGGCGCUGCAUCUACUUUCACUGGGUGCAGAGACGUGGUCAUGGUUUUCCACUCUCAGAGCAGCAGGACCCUGCCCAGAAGCUAAGCCCAGGCAUCCAGGACUGCUGUGGCCUCGGCAGGAUAGAGGCCUCCACAAACCUACAAACCUACAAACCUACAAACGCUGGCAGCUUCAGCGUCUAGGGGACUGAGGAAGGUCAGAGCCUGCAGAAACUUCAAAGCGGUGCCGUGAAUCAGUGGUGCCACCCUCAAGGAGCAUCUGGUUGUGGGACUUUACAGACCUGGGUCUUCUCUGUCCCAAACCCCAAAGGGCCCUAGCCUCCUGAACUCCAACGUGGAGUCUGAGUCUGUGACAUAAACUCCAGCUGGAAGCCUGGACAGCCUGGGGCCUCCACGAUUCAAUCAGGACUUAGACCCACUCUCUCCCAAUGGUCAACGGCAGCCUCACGCCUGGUUUACUUGAGCCUUCCCUGUACUAAAUUUAAGGAGUUCAGCUAGGAAAGAGUACUCAGUGUGAUGCAAGUGGACUCUCACUCAUCCUUACCAGUUCUGGCUGUAAACUGUUGCCUUUGAAGUGUUUUGGUUGGAAGUUUUGUGCACAGCUUUUGCUUAGCUGUGUUUUGAUUGAACCAUGAGGGACUGUGCCUUACAAUGCUGAAUUAAUCAAGACUUUGGAAUGUUAUCUGAAAAAACUCCAAAAGCAGACAGCCUCACCUCUGUAGGUCUGUGGUGCCCACCCUGGACUUAUAUUUUUACCUCACUUUCUAGGUUCCAAUUACCUGGUUCUAGUUCCAUGGUCUGAACUAUGAUCAUUGAAAUUAUCUAUGACUGUAGACACUGUUGAGGUUAGAAUUCCCUAACUGUAGUUUUUAGGACCCCUUGAAUAAUAUUUUUUUGGGGGGUAAGGGCUGUACCCGAGGCAUAUGAAAAUUCCCAGGCUAGGGGUCUAAUCAGAGCUGCAGCUGCUGGCCUACACCACAGCCAUAGCAACAGGAUGUCUGAGCUGCAUCUGCGGCUUACACUGCAGCUGGUGGCAAUGCCAGAUCCUUAACCCGCUGAGCAUGUCUGGGGAUUGAACCUUCAUCCUCAUGGAUAGCAGUUGGGUUCUCAACCCACUGAGCCACAACAGGAACUCCUGCUCUAAUGUUUUAAUAUAUACUAUGUUUUUAAUUUUCUGAGUUUUUGUGUGUGUGUGUGUGUGUGUGUGUGUGUGUUUGUUUUGUUUUUUUUUUCCUUUUUUAGGGCCGAACUCAAGGCAUAUAGAAGUUCCCAGGCUAGGGGUCCAACUGGAACUACAGCUGCCAGCCAACACCACAGCCACAGCAAUGCCAGAUCUGAACUGCAUCUGCGACCUACAUCACAGCUCAUGGGAACACUGGAUCCUUAACCCACUGAGCGAGGCCAGGGAUCAAACCCGAAACCUCAUGAUUCCUAGCUGGAUUUGUUUCCGCUGUGCCACAAUGGGAACUCCUUCUGAGGGUUUUUUUUUUUUUCUCAUGAGUUAGUUUUGAAUUGUAUGAAAUGGUUUUCCUGGAUAUAUUGCACAUGCCAUCUCUGUUUUUACCCACCUUAUCUAUUGAUGUAGUGAAUUUCUAUAUACAUUUUUAGUGAUAAACCAACUUGAUUAAUUUCUAGGUUAUUAGCAAUUCGACAUGACUCCUUAUAUUUUAUAUCUUAGAAAUUAUUUCUGUGCUCAAAAAUUAAAGACAAAGAAAAUCAUAAAGCCACAUUUUCCACUGUCCUAUAAAGAGGAAUAGGGCCAUCAGUAGGGGAAUAGCUAUGCCUAAAGCACCUUACACCCAAUUUUAAAAUGUUUCAGAAAUACACACUGAAAUUU
rnacentral:lncRNA from 1 species